rnacentral:rRNA from 1 species
AUUGAACGCUGGCGGCAGGCCUAACACAUGCAAGUCGAACGAGCGGCGGACGGGUGAGUAAUGUCUGGGAAACUGCCUGAUGGAGGGGGAUAACUACUGGAAACGGUAGCUACUCCCGCAUACCAUCGGAUGUGCCCAUAUGGGAUUAGCUGGUGGGUGGGGUAACGGCUCACCUAGGCGACGAUCCCUAGCUGGUCUGAGAGGAGGACCAGCCACACUGGAACUGAGACACGGUCCAGACUCCUACGGGAGGCAGCAGGGGGGAAUAUUGCACAAUGGGCGCAAGCCUGAUGCAGCCAUGCCGCGUGUAUGAAGAAGGCCUUCGGGUUGUAAAGUACUUUCAGCGGGGAGGCGUUACCCGCAGAAGAAGCACCGGCUAACUCCGUGCCAGCAGCCGCGGUAAUAC